CUGCGGCAUUUCCAGCCCAGCUCUUCUGCGCAGCUUGUUGGGCGGCCCACACUCAGGGCCAUCUCACCAAUAAGCUCUGCCCAGCUUGCCGGGCAUGCCAGCCAUCCACUUCCAGCUAGUUUCCCUGGGACCUUGGUGGCAUGGUUUGUGGAUGUAAAGUCUGGAAUCACAGCAGCUAUUCUGCCAACAUAAGGGAUGCUGUCUUGAGGAUGAAGCCUAAUACCUGUCAGCAGGACAGGCAGUUGUGAAGAAAGUGGUUCUCUGAUAUCACUGAGCCCUGAAGACUACCUUGCCCCUGGACUUUUCAGUUAUGUCAGCUGCCUCAGGUCCUGAGCUUAAGUGUAUUUAUCAAAAAAGCUUAAAGAGUGAUCCUUCCUCCCGAAGUAUCAGGUGUGUAUUUGUUUGGCAUGGAACUGCUAUUGAAAUUAUAAGUGAAAACUUUGAGAAGUGCUUAGGUUGGCCAGGAGGGUGAAGUUUGGGAUCAGUGGUUAGCCAAUCAGAUUAGCCAGUGAGUAGCUCUUGUUUUUAAUUUUUCUUAAUUAUAGCAAGUGAUCGCUGAUGCCUUCCCAGUUCAGAAGGAAAGGAGGUGAAGGCAGGAAGUAGAAAAAAAAACUCUCAAUCAUUAGCCUUGGAUUUGUGCCCUGUCUUUGGAAUCCUCUUCUUUUUCUCAGUGGGAGAAUGUCAUGCGCUGUCACUGGGAUUCGAAGCCUUCCAGCAUCUUUGUUAUUGGUUCAGAUAUAGAACAGAGUCAGGUAAUUAUGUGGAGUGGACAAAAGUGUUUCCUUUCCAUCAAGUGGUGUGGCCCUAUCUGCAGUGACACACUGGCGGGCCCUCUGGGGAGGCGUCUGCAGCCCUGUCAGAGGAGCUGAGCUGGGUGCUGUGAAGAGAGUAGGGCUCCAGGCCGCCUGCACUCACUUAGGACUCGUGGAGCUCCAGCCCAUUGAGAGCUUAACGAAGAAAUCCGACAAACUGUUUCCUUCCAAGAGAAACAGACAGGUUCCUAUUUUCUCUUGGUUAUGUCCAACA